GCAAUGCCGCGUGAGUGAAGAAGGCCUUCGGGUUGUAAAGCUCUUUUGUCAGGGAAGAAACGGUGAUCUCUAAUAUAGAUUGCUAAUGACGGUACCUGAAGAAUAAGCACCGGCUAACUACGUGCCAGCAGCCGCGGUAAUACGUAGGGUGCAAGCGUUAAUCGGAAUUACUGGGCGUAAAGCGUGCGCAGGCGGUUAUAUAAGUCAGAUGUGAAAUCCCCGGGCUCAACCUGGGAACUGCAUUUGAGACUGUAUGGCUAGAGUGUGUCAGAGGGGGGUAGAAUUCCACGUGUAGCAGUGAAAUGCGUAGAUAUGUGGAGGAAUACCGAUGGCGAAGGCAGCCCCCUGGGAUAACACUGACGCUCAUGCACGAAAGCGUGGGGAGCAAACAGGAUUAGAUACCCUGGUAGUCCACGCCCUAAACGAUGUCUACUAGUUGUUGGGUCUUAAUUGACUUAGUAACGCAGCUAACGCGUGAAGUAGACCGCCUGGGGAGUACGGUCGCAAGAUUAAAACUCAAAGGAAUUGACGGGGACCCGCACAAGCGGUGGAUGAUGUGGAUUAAUUCGAUGCAACGCGAAAAACCUUACCUACCCUUGACAUGUACAGAAUGCCGAAGAGAU
rnacentral:rRNA from 1 species